CAAAAAAAGGGUUCCCCAUAAAUUGCAAACCGCCUUCCCGAAAAGGUAACCGGCGCACGGGUGAUUCCCGCGUGGGAAUCUACCAUUUGCUACGGAACAACAGUUGGAAACGACUGCUAAUACCGUAUGUGCCCUUUGGGGGAAAGAUUUAUCGGCAAAUGAUGAGCCCGCGUUGGAUUAGCUAGUUGGUGGGGUAAAGGCCUACCAAGGCGACGAUCCAUAGCUGGUCUGAGAGGAUGAUCACCCCCCCUGGGACUGAAACACGGCCCAGACUCCUCCGGGAGGCAGCAGUGGGGAAUAUUGGACAAUGGGCGCAAGCCUGAUCCAACCAUGCCGCGUGAGUGAUGAAGGCCCUAGGGUUGUAAAGCUCUUUCACCGGUGAAGAUAAUGACGGGAACCGGAAAAAAGCCCCGGCUAACUUCGUGCCAGCACCCGCGGUAAUACAAAGGGGGCUAGCGUUGUUCGGAUUUACUGGGCGUAAAGCGCACGUAGGCGGACUUUUAAGUCAGGGGUGAAAUCCCGGGGCUCAACCCCGGAACUGCCUUUGAUACUGGAAGUCUUGAGUAUGGAAGAGGGGAGUGGAAUUUCCGAGUGUAGAGGUGAAAUUCGUAAAUUUCGGAGGACACCAGUGGCGAAGGCGGCUCACUGGUCCAUUUACUGACGCUGAGGUGCGAAGCGUGGGGAGCAGAAAGGAUUACAUCCCCGGGUAUCCCACGCCUUAAACAUGAAUGUUAGCCGUUGGGGAGUUUACUCCUUCGGGGGGCCACUACCCAAUAAAAAUUCCCCUGGGGGGGCCGGUCCAAAAAUAAAAAUCAAGGAAUGGCGGGGGCCCCCCCAGCGGGGGACUGGGGUUUAAUCCAAACAACCCCCAAACCUUCCCCCCUGGCACCCAUUGC
rnacentral:rRNA from 1 species